UACGUAGGGGGCUAGCGUUGUCCGGAAUUACUGGGCGUAAAGCGCACGUAGGCGGCUUUGUAAGUUAGAGGUGAAAGCCCAGGGCUUAACCCUGGAAUUGCCUUUAAGACUGCAUCGCUAGAAUCGUGGAGAGGUAAGUGGAAUUCCGAGUGUAGAGGUGAAAUUCGUAGAUAUUCGGAAGAACACCAGUGGCGAAGGCGACUUACUGGACACGUAUUGACGCUGAGGUGCGAAAGCGUGGGGAGCAAACAGG
rnacentral:rRNA from 1 species